GGGCUGAUGAUGAUAAAUUUCAUAUCUUAGCGGAUUUCAGUGAGAACUUAUCAAUGAUCUGAAUGUUACACACACCGAAGCCU